rnacentral:rRNA from 1 species
CCUGAAACCGUGUGCUUACAAGUAGUCAGAGCCCGUUAAUGGGUGAUGGCGUGCCUUUUGUAGAAUGAACCGGCGAGUUACGAUUUGAUGCAAGGUUAAGCAGUAAAUGUGGAGCCGUAGCGAAAGCGAGUCUGAAUAGGGCGUUUAGUAUUUGGUCGUAGACCCGAAACCAGGUGAUCUACCCUUGGUCAGGUUGAAGUUCAGGUAACACUGAAUGGAGGACCGAACCGACUUACGUUGAAAAGUGAGCGGAUGAACUGAGGGUAGCGGAGAAAUUCCAAUCGAACCUGGAGAUAGCUGGUUCUCUCCGAAAUAGCUUUAGGGCUAGCCUCAAGUGAUGAUUAUUGGAGGUAGAGCACUGUUUGGACGAGGGGCCCCUCUCGGGUUACCGAAUUC